CAGAACCAACCUAGGCUCCGCCUAGUCCUUGUUGGUGAUUCAUAAUAACCCGGCGAAUCGCACGGCUUGUCCGGCGAUGGACCAUUCAAGUUUCUGAUCUAUCAGCUAUGGACGGUAGGGUAUUGGCCUACCGUGGCGUUGACGGGUAACGGGGAAUUAGGGUUCGAUUCCGGAGAGGGAGCCUGAGAAACGGCUACCACAUCUAAGGAAGGCAGCAGGCGCGCAAAUUACCCAAUCCUGAUACAGGGAGGUAGUGACAAGAAAUAACAAUACAGGGCAAUUCUGUCUUGUAAUUGGAAUGAGUAGAUUUUAAAUCUCUUUACGAGUAUCAAUUGGAGGGCAAGUCUGGUGCCAGCAGCCGCGGUAAUUCCAGCUCCAAUAGCGUAUAUUAAAGUUGUUGCGGUUAAAAAGCUCGUAGUUGGAUUUCUGCCUUGGGCGACCGAUCCACCUUUCCUACGGGAUUGGUCGGUAUCAGGUUUGACCUUGGCUUUUUCUUGGGAUUCGUGCUCACGUACUUAACUGUGCGUUGACCGUGUUCCAAGACUUUUACUUUGAGGAAAUUAGAGUGUUUCAAGCAGGCUUAUGCCAUGAAUACAUUAGCAUGGAAUAAUAGGAUAUGACUUCGGUCAUAUUUUGUUGGUUUCUAGGACUGAAGUAAUGAUUAAUAGGGACAGUCGGGGGCAUUCGUAUUUAACUGUCAGAGGUGAAAU
rnacentral:ncRNA from 1 species